CAGGAAUAAUUCUUGGCUUCAAGAAUCUCAGUUUUUAAUUGCAACAAGACUAGUGAGUAAAAUUAAAGUUAAGUGAUCAGUUUGUACAGAAUAUAAAGAACUACCAAAUUUUCUUGGAGAUCAAGGACAGAGAAGUUCAUCUGAUCAGUUUGAGCAAUGUUUACUGUGAGUACAAGAUUGAUGGGGCAUCCCUGAUGGAGUGAAAGAUACCAAACACCAGGCCUGGAUGGCCAGGGAAUAGGCUGCCCACAAGAGGAGGAAGGCACAGGAGGAAGGCCUCUGGUCUGUGUGGGAACAGGAAGAAGAGCAAUCAGGUUGGAAAGGAAGGUAAAUUUAUUUUUAUUUUUAAAAAUUUUUUAACAUUAAGUUUAUUGGUACAUUUUAGGUAUACAAUACAGUUACAUUCAUCAUUGGGAUCUUGUACCUUUACAUAAUGUAUCUUGGCUCUUAUUUUCCCCAUUCCCCUGCCCUCCUUUCACCCCCUCCACACUUCCCUAUUUACAGAGACUUUGUUUCCAUUUUUUCCUUUUCUCAUAUUUU
rnacentral:lncRNA from 1 species